ensembl:lncRNA
UUUUUUCCAUUUGCCAGUAAAAUCGAUUUCAGACUUCUACAAUAAGCCCUAAAACAUUUCUUACAAUAUUAGAAAGUAGUUCAUAUGGUGUUCCAUAUUUGGUGUUCCAAAGGUAACUAUGGAAAGAGAAAAUAAUUGCACUAUCACUGCUAUUAUUCAGGGCACUUGCGUCAAUGCCGGAUUUAAAAUACCCCUUUGUUAUAAAAUAACCACUGUUAACAUGAUUUGAAAUCAUGUUACAGCCAAAUACAGCCAAACCCUACUAUAGACCACAAGAAACACUGUGCUAUAUACAGCACUUGAAACAAGACUGUUAAUGAUGUUUAUCCCUAGCCCAACUCGUUAAAAUCUCAUGGAGAACAAUUUGAGGGAUCCUGAUAGUAAUUAUUGUAUUAAUUUACAUACUGUGCAGGAUCCAUUCAGAAUGUAACAUGCUGCAAGCUACUUGAUCUUACUCAUUAAGUUUAAAGCAGGGAGUGGCCAUACACUGAUGCCCAAUCUGAGAAAAUAAUUAACUUUAUCAAAAGCUAUCAUAACAUGAAAAUGUACUUGUUCUUAGCACAAGCUUCUGAAUAAUCUAGUAAGGAUGCAGUCAGUUAUGGUGGCUUUCAGGAUAUUUAAAUAAGAUUCUUGAAAAACAUAUAGGUGGAAGAUUAUAUUAAUAUUGUUAUUGUUGUUAUUGUUAUUAUUAUUACUACUAUUAUUCCUUUAUUGUUAUGCACAUCUAAAGCCAUGAUUUUAUAGGAAUUGUGACACUUCUUUCACAUGCACCUAUUCAUUCACAGUUUAAGAUACAUAAGAUCCCUCUGUUGUACUAUUGACAGUGAUGCUAACACCAUUUUUCACAUUUUGAAAAAUUUCAUUCUCUAAUUUUUAUACUAUGUCAAUUAGUUUUAGCAUGGAUUUUAUUUUUGUUUAAAGAAAUAAUAAGCUCUUUUUCUCACGUUAAAAAAAUUUAAGAGCUUAAAUCAUUAUAAGCUUAUGUAAACAGAAAACUCAUACUGCUUCUUCGCUGCAUUACCAUCAAAGUAAUUUUGAGGUCUUGGAUUUCUUUUCUUUCUGGACAAAUGUUCCAAAUAUGGCAAAGGCAAGAGACGCUUGUUCUCUGUCCUAUGUACCUUAGUCCACUAACAAAGUCUAUGUGAUCCAUAGCUAAGAACCACAGAGCUCUUCCCCAGCACAGAAGUUAAGUGCUGCCGUGAUCUUGUCGACCACUAUCUUUAAAGCCAUAAAUUCCAGGAAAUAUAUAAAGGUAAAAAUAAUUAUGUUCCGUGUUUUACUUCUUUAGAGGAUGCAUCCUCAUGAAAAUUUGCAGUAGCUAAAUAGUAACUCACAGUUUCACACAUUUAAUACUGCAUAGCCUUCGAUUGGGCCAACUCAUUUUUAUUGAUAGUCUUCCUUGAGCCACAGAGAUCAUGAUUUCUUGCCUUGUAAAACCACUUGUCUUUAACUCAAUAAAUUUCAUCAGACACAGAGGAUGAACUUUUCAGCCUCCUCAAUAAGCCAAUACCUAUGCUUUCCUGCUUAGAGGCUGAAUCAGUUCUGUAAAUCAAUACAGAAAUAAGCUUCAUUUUCUGCAGACAGUUGCCUAAGUCACUUAGCAAUUGCUUCUAUGUGGAUACCAAGCAUCCAGCAUGAAAAAUAAAGAAAAAAAAGCUAUUCAAGGGAGCAUCAAACACCAAGUAGUUUAAAAACUUAUAAUGUCAUACUUUUCAUGUCCAUAUAAAUGUGUAUAUAUUGAAAUGUAUAUAAUAAUCCACCCUAUGUGUGGAUUGUAUCAGUUACAUAUUAGUGCAUAUCAUGUAGUAGAAGCUGCUUGUUCUCCUGGAGCAAGCUAUUGCUAGUGUUACGGAAGUUCCAGGUAGACUUACUUUUUGAUUACAAAAAGGCUUUUCUGAGCUGUUUGGUUCUCCACUGUUUGAGAGGCAAGGCAAGCCUUUGCAAACCACUGUAAGAGUAAGCCAAAAUGUUUAAAAGGCAGUAGGAAGGGAAGGCAAGGUUCUGAGAAGCUGAUUUAUCAGCUAGCAUUUGUCAAACAAUAAAAUAAACACCCACUGUUGAGACCAGAGCUAGCCAGAAUGAAGCGUGCCAGGGGAAGAUGACAUCUGAAUGGCUGGCACACUCCCUUGAGUGUGAAGGCAGAUGCUAUCUUCUGUGUCAGACCUAGCUGAAAGCCAGAGAAAAUAGAUAAUUUUUUUAUCAAUUAGUAGAAUAAAGAAUAAAAAUAAUAAUUUAAAAAGGCAGAAUUUUUGCACGCCUUCAGAAUAAACAACAGAACAGGGUAACACACAGGAAAUGGAAGAGAAAGUUAUUCAUGAGAGUCUGCAGACAUCAUGUCUGAGCAGAUUGGGUAUUUUGAAAAGUUCACUGAGCAAUCACUUUUCUAGCUUAUAGUCUUUUUCAUUUACGGCCUGAAAUGCAGCAUGUAGUCACUAUUCCCUAGACACACAAUGAGACUUAGUACAUAUGAAGAGCAGCUUGACAAUGAAAUACAAACAGAGCUGAUGGCAUGGGAAGCACAAUAACUCUGGUUUUCUAGGUUAGGUUAGCAUGAACUAAAACAACCACCUAAUAUGCUUUAAGAUAUCUGCUACAUGUGUAAACUUUUAACUGUUACCUGCAACUUCCUUUAUUAAUUCUCAGGGGGGGAAAAGGCUCCUUUUUUCUGGACUACUCUGCUGACACCUAGUGGGCCUCAGCGCCAAGAGGUUCAGGAAAAGAAAGGUAAUAUCAGAGCAGCUGUUCUUUGCAUUUCACUCGCAGUAAAAUCUUUUAUAUGGCCAUGUCUGUGAUUCAGCAGAGUGCUGAAUCAUAUAUCAACUCAGAGAACAUUGUAACACCAAUGAGAGAAAAAUGUAGAAAGAUGGUUAAGAGGAGAAAGGGGAAAGAAGCAUAAAGAAAAGAAGUGCUAGGUGAAGUCUUUCCCUCACAGGAUAAACAUCUUUAACAAGGGUGAAUAAAAUUUUUCCACUGGUUGUGACUUCCAUCUUUUGCAUUCUCUGUUUCACAUAAUUUACUGGGAUAUCUCAGUGUCUGUAACAUCUAGGUAAUGACUACUGUGUUGUUUGAUUUAAUAUAAAACAUAAAUUACAAGCAACUCCUUAUUAUUGCCUUAAAAUUAAUUGCAGUAGAAUCCUACCAUUACAAUAGUAUAAACAUGACAUUUUAUUCUUGGAUUUCUUUGGGAGAGUGGCAAUUUCACCUGAGAUACUGAGCUUCGCUAAAGUGGCUUAAUAGUGCCUGGGAAACAGGCAUCAGUAAAAUGAGAUGGUAUUUUUUGAUGCCAAGGAAUUCAGCAAGUAACAAUGGACACAAAAGCAAUUUUAAAAUAAAAAUCAAACUUCCUCUUUUCAAAAGAAAUUGAAAAAAAAUGAACAUAAGGGCUGGUCUCUGAUGACAAAGAUGAAUAAGAUCACAUUUUACUUCCCUGAAAAAUGGCUUCAAGAGGUCACAGUCAUUGCUCCUGCAUAAAAAAUGUGAGAACACAUACUGCCACCAACUGUCAUUAAGUUGGUCUCUUGAGAGCUGCUGGUCAGGAACUUUUAGGUUUCUCGAAGAGAAUUUCCUGUCUUUCUGAAAUGGUUUAUCUAACUAAAAUCAUACAAAAUGCAGAGGUGCUUGGAUGCUUAAAAACACCUAAACAGAGAGAUUUAGGCUUCUCCAAGUAUGCAGCAUAACAAAUCUAGGGUAACUUCACUUCAGCAAUAUAAAAGAAGACACUAAAACAAGCACUGUGUAGUUCUUUGCAUCAUAAACACAAGCAAGAUACUAAAGAUUGCAUAAGCUGAAAAAGACCACAAAACAGGAGAGAAUAUAGAAUUCUGUUAGUGAAAGAAAUUAGUUAGUGCCCACUUGAGUGUACUUUUCUUACAAUUCUGCUCAUGACAAUGACUGGGCAUCGCCUCUCAGACACUGCUCAAGCUCUGCUUCACUGUGGUACCAAAAGUCACUGCAACUUUCCUUCCUCUUCAGCCUUUUUUCUUGGCUUACACCCUUCAGUCAGUCAGAACUUAAUCCUGCAUUUAAAUGGGAAGUUCAGUCAUUUCAUUUCUUUUUCCACAGCAUAAAAAUAAAAAUUAAUACUUCCAGAUAGGCCAGAGGACAUCUCACUGCAGAAUGCUCUGCAAUUAUCAUCUUAACUCUCACAUUGUAGGUGCUGAAUCUCUUGAGACUAAAAGCUAAUUAUGUCCAAAAUAUUUAUAUGUCUACAAUUUUUAUUUUAUGCAUGCAAGAUUACAAGUCAUCAAGGGAAGAUAAAAUUGUUCAUAAGAGACAUCAGAGGUUUAUAUAUUUUUGCCUUGCAACUUUGUUAGGACUAGUGCACUUAAGCAUUCAGACACAGGCCUUAAUCAAAGCCUCAGUCUUUAAGCAGCUUUCUGAUAACUGCAAUUAACUGUCUAUACAUGUAAGAGACGUUUUAUUAUAUAAUUACAUGUAAGUGUGAUUAACUGAACUUUUUGAUAUAUAGAUCAGAGACUGCCACUCAAUACAUUUUAUCUCUAUAAGAAAUUUCAGACACAAAGUAUUACACAACUUAAUAAAAACAUUACUUUAAAAAUCUUAAAUUUUUUUUUCUGCUGUCAAAGUUCAAAUAAAUUCUCUGUCAUCAAAAAGUAAAUUAAAAUUUUAAUCUUGUAAAAACAAAAUUCUUAUUAUUAAAAUGCUUUUACCCUCAUACUUAUACUCAUUUAAUAUUUUUCAUGACUUAUUUGAUUUGGCCUGCGAUGCUAAAGAUUAAUGUUAUUAGUUAAUGAAAAAGUGAAUAAUUUACUAUGUCUUUUGCUAGACCUGUAGUAAUUAUAAUUGAUAUAUCCAAAAUUAGUAUUUCUACAUUUAUAAUUUACAAAAAUAAUAAUGGAAUUUCAAUAAUAACAAAGGAAAUAAUAUAUUCCCACUGGAAAGAAAAAAAAAAAAA